rfam:Triticum aestivum genome assembly, contig: Triticum_aestivum_CS42_TGACv1_scaffold_556993_7AL
CUUGUACUCCCUCCGUUCCGAAUUACUUGUCUUGGAUUUCUCUACAUACGGAGGUAUCUAGCAAUAAAAUGAGUCUAGAUACAUCUGUAUCUAUUUAAAUCCAAGACAAGUAAUUCGGAAUGGAGGGAGUAUAAC